rnacentral:SRP_RNA from 1 species
CCGUGCUAAACGGGGGCGUAGCGGACCCCUGACCCUGGCAGUGAUGUCGGGCGACCUGCAAUCCGCUCCAGCAGGGUUGAAUUCCCGCGCCAGAAGGUUUGAGACCAAUCGGCGCGCCGGGAAGCGGCGAUGAACGUCGGGCCCGCGAUGACGGAUGCAGGUGAACCCCGCCAGGACCGGAAGGUAGCAACGGUAAGCCAUCGCGUUCCGGGUGUCGUGGAAUCCUGGCGGGAGCUGCGGAACGGGGAGCGGGGUCGGUGGAGAACCGGCGAACGCGGGUGCACGG